CCUACGGGAGGCAGCAGUAGGGAAUCUUCCGCAAUGGACGAAAGUCUGACGGAGCAACGCCGCGUGAGCGAAGAAGGCCUUCGGGUCGUAAAGCUCUGUUGUUAGGGAAGCGGUACCUAACGAGAAAGCCACGGCUAACUACGUGCCAGCAGCCGCGGUAAUACGUAGGUGGCAAGCGUUGUCCGGAAUUAUUGGGCGUAAAGCGCGCGCAGGCGGUUCCUUAAGUCUGAUGUGAAAGCCCACGGCUCAACCGUGGAGGGUCAUUGGAAACUGGGGGACUUGAGUGCAGAAGAGGAGAGCGGAAUUCCACGUGUAGCGGUGAAAUGCGUAGAGAUGUGGAGGAACACCAGUGGCGAAGGCGGCUCUCUGGUCUGUACUGACGCUGAGGCGCGAAAGCGUGGGGAGCAAACAGGAUUAGAUACCCUUGUAGUC
rnacentral:rRNA from 1 species